CUCGUAGGCGGUUUGAUAAGUCCUGUGUGAAAUCCCUUGGCUUAACCAAGGAACUGCGCCGGAUACUGUCGAACUAGAGGCCGGGAGAGGGAAGCGGAAUUCCGAGUGUAGCGGUGAAAUGCGUAGAUAUUCGGAGGAACACCGGUGGCGAAGGCGGCCUCCUGGACCGGUUCUGACGCUAAAGGGCGAAAGCUAGGGUAGCAAACA
rnacentral:rRNA from 1 species